UGUGUGUGUGUGUGUGUGUGUGUGUGUGUGUAUAUGACAAGGCACAAAUAAUGGUCAUUACAUAUUUUUCUUUUCUUUAUUGUAGUAAAUCUGACUUGCAGCUGUUUCUAGUAGUCGUUAUAGGUUCGUUAUUGAUUGGUUUACUCAAUCAGCCCAUUGAUUGGUUGAGAAAAAUAGAAUGACCUAGAGAAUUAAUGUUGCUUUCGUCA